UACGUAGGGGGCUAGCGUUGUCCGGAUUUAUUGGGCGUAAAGAGCGUGUAGGCGCCAGGUAGGUCCGUUGUGAAAACUCGAGGCUCAACCUCGAGACGUCGGCGGAAACCCUCUGGCUAGAGUCCGGAAGAGGAGAGUGGAAUUCCCUGGUGUAGCGGUGAAAUGCGCAGAUAUCAGGAAGAACACCCGUGGCGAAGGCGGCUCUCUGGGACGGUACUGACGCUGAGACGCGAAAGCGUGGGGAGCAAACAGG
rnacentral:rRNA from 1 species